rnacentral:rRNA from 1 species
UACGGAGGAUCCGAGCGUUAUCCGGAUUUAUUGGGUUUAAAGGGUGCGUAGGCGGGAUAUUAAGUCAGUGGUGAAAGUUUGCAGCUCAACUGUAAAAUUGCCGUUGAAACUGAUAUUCUAGAGUGCAAAUGAGGUAGGCGGAAUGUGUAGUGUAGCGGUGAAAUGCUUAGAUAUUACACAGAACACCAAUUGCGAAGGCAGCUUACUAGGAUGCAACUGACGCUCAGGCACGAAAGCGUGGGGAUCAAAC